rnacentral:rRNA from 1 species
GUCCACGCCGUAAACGAUGUCGACUAGCCGUUGGAGACCUUAGAGUCUUUAGUGGCGCAGCUAACGCACUAAGUCGACCGCCUGGGAGUACGGCCGCAAGGUUAAACUCAAAUGAAUUGACGGGGCCCGCACAAGCGGUGGAGCAUGUGGUUUAAUUCGAUGCAACGCGAAGAACCUUACCGCCCCUUGACAUCCUGGGAACUCGCUAGAGAUAGCUUGGUGCCGAAAGGAGCCCAGAGACAGGUGCUGCAUGGCUGUCGU